rfam:Oryza sativa (indica cultivar-group) chromosome 11, whole genome shotgun sequence.
UUGCAGUGUGGGUUAUGGGUCCAGUGUCUAACGAUUGACCGUUCGUCUUAUUGAAAUUUUUUUUAUGAUUUCUAUUUUUUAUUGUUUUUAGAUGAUAAAAUAUGAAUACUACUUUAUGUGACUUAAUUUUUAAUUUUUUUCAUAAACUUUUUAAAUAAGACGGACAGACAAAUGUUAGGCACAGAAACUUAUGGUUGCACUUGAA